UUCAAAUAAAGAACAAUACCUCCACACAUAGCUUUUCUUUCCAACAUAACAACAGAAAUGCAGACUGCUGUCUAAAGAGAAGAAAGGACGACACACACCAUUAGUCCUGUCAAGCCCAUGAACAGGGCACUUAGACGAGUCCACUCAGCAAAGCCUGCAGUCCAACUUGGAAUGAAAGAAACAUUUUUUCCCCUCCCUCCUGGAAGUUCUUUUAGUGGGCCUGGCCCCUCAAAGACAGCGAUGUGACGCAUCUCUACAACAGCCUAAACAAAUACAAGAAAAUGAUGAGAACCCCCCCCAAUCCCAUUGUGAAGUACUACUUGACUAAGUAUCCAAAACUGGCUUCCAGCAGUGCAAGUAAUAUAUCCUACACUUUCAUCUUA